rnacentral:lncRNA from 1 species
GCACGGUUCAGCCUGGAUCUUUAGAAGCCAGGAUUAAAAGGGAUUUUUGAUACACCGGAAGUAAUAAAGAAAUAAUAGUAUAACCGCAAGACGUAACUGCAAGCAGUUACGGAUUGUUUUGGAUUGGCUCGUAGUGGCCUGCAAAAAUAGGGAAGUGACCGAUUGUAGACAAUAACUGAACAGUAGCGGACUAUAAAUAGACAAAUAACAUCUAAAAGAAGGGUCUUUUUCCCUCGAGAACAGAAAACUACUUUUAUUUCCUCUAUAUUUUUUUUGCAUUUUUUAGGAGUGAUCUACUUGUAAUCUUUUCCUUUUCCGCAUCUACUGCUUUUCUUAGGAGUAGUUCUAGGGUAAAUUUUCAGAAUCUGUAUGCCCCAAAGGCACACUUUCUUUUGUACAAGUUUUCAGACAUAAUUUUAAUAUAUAAAGGCAUUCGGCUCUUCAGCCAACCCAAACUACUGUGCAUUUCAUUCAUUCGGCUCAUUCAGCAGAACCCGUUCUAUAGUAAAGUUUU